rnacentral:sRNA from 1 species
GCUGGGCAUGGUGGUGCAUGCCUCUAAUUCCAGCCACAUGGGAGGCUGAGGCAGGAGGACAGCAAGUUCAAGAUCAGCUUCAGUAACUUAGCAAAGCUUUAAGCAACUUAAUGAGAUCCUGUCUCAA